AUUUAUAAUGUUUUGUGUCAAAAAUAUGUGAGAAAUGAGGUAUCUACCUAAUGGUAGGAAGAAAUUAAUUAUGUAAUGGUAGGAAAAAUAAUUUCACUUUAAUUACGUAUUAGAAAAUCAGUAAUCUUAAAUUAGGAUGCAUCAAUGGAGAAGAAGGCAAUUGUAAUCACAAUACAAUAAUAGAUCUACAAAUACCAGGCAAUACAUUAAAUCAAACACUGUUGUAAUUAUGUACUCCCUGUGGUCUUAUUAAUGUCAGCUUAUUGAUAGCUCGAUUACCAGUCAAAUAGUUUCGCUGUUUUCUAUACUAUGAAGAAAAUUUGAUCUGAUUAGAUUAAUUCAGAUGUAAAUUUAUGUUAUACGGUAAGAUAUUUUUAAACAAACCAAGAAAGUUCUCUUCAGACAAGUUCUGGUCUGAAAUUGCAAAUAUUAACGAAAAAGUUAUACAUGUAGUUUUCUAUUCAUAAAUGAUAUUAUUGAUUUUAUUCUAGGUGAAUGUAUCGAGUCAUAUAUUAUGCAGAAUAUAUU